GUGCAAAGGUGAUUAAACUACGAUUACAGGAACCACCCAGAAGCCUGUGGUAAUAGAGGCGGGCCCUUCGGUCAAUUAUUAUGGAUCACGUUACGUUUCUGGCAGCGGACACCGGGUCAGGAGUGCGUGCCCAUCAAACGUGACAUCUGCAAAGGACGAAAUCAAAAAUGAAAGUAUAUAAGGAUGACAUACCACACAGUCCGGCUACUCUUUCACUUGCUAUCAACCAACUGUUGUGUGUGUAGUGUUUCGUUUGAUUGGAUUAUUCAAAAAUGAAGGUGUUGAUUGUCUGUACUUUUGCUCUGAUCGCAACGGUCUGCGCAGACAAGUCCGCCCCGUACCCAGCGUCUGGCGCUAAACCCAACGGACCUAUAUUCCUCCUGCCGGUUGGAAAACAGGCUCCUGCUGCGUCGCCCACGAAGGCUCCAACCUAUGUCUAUCCAUACGCUCCUGCCUCUCCACCGAGCUCCCCAAAGGCACCAGAGCCAACAACGGCCAACCCUCAGGAGGUGGAUAUCGUGACCCCAAACAACACUUCCCCUAGCCAGAGACAGGAGGUCAUCGACGUGGGGGUCUACUACAUCCUGAGUCCGAACGGGAAGCUUCAGAAAGUCGAAUACUUCACCGCGCCUCAACCGGAGUCCGAGAUCGCCCAAAAGCUCCAGGAGUACAACGUUAACGGCCAGAAAGCAGCGCCUCUCAAGUUCAAAGGCGUUGUCUCCAACUUCCAAUACAAAGACGUGGAGCCCAUAACCGCUCCUAUCUUCUCCUACAGCAAUGUUCCUGGGCCCCUAGUCAGGAUUCUCCGGAGAGCCGACUAAAUAGUGCCAUUGAGUAUCACCCCUGUUGCCGGAUUUACGGUGGUGCCCCCUCCCUUCCAAGGCAUAGGUGGAGUUAAAUCACUUUCUAGAGCACUGAAAAAAAAAUCUUGGUGUAUUUACUAAGGAAAAGGUAAAAUUACCAAGAAUUCAGGGUUCUAUUUGAUCCCAGUUUUUCCUUGGUAAAAUUACCAUUUAUGGAAUUGGUAAUUUUACCGAGAAAUCUCGGUAAAAUUAUUGAACUUUCUCGGUAAUUUUACCGGAUCUUGGUAAAAUCGCCAAUAUUUUUAAUCGACUGUGGUAGAAUUACCGAGAUAAAAUGGCAAAGUUACCCGGAAUUUAUUACCAAUAAAAGUGGUAUUCUUACCUGAAAAAAACAGUAAAAAUACAGGGUUUUAAGUAAGCUUACCAGUCUGUCUUGGUCAGAUUACCAAUACUUGGUAAUAAAAGUGAGAUGUUGAAGGCACCAACGGACCUUGGUAAAAAUGCCGAUAAUUUUUUUUCAGUGAGGAGCCUGCCCUUCAUUGGAAAAUGACACCUGAAUUGCAUUUUGCAACAAGGGACCAAGAGCAUUUCAACGUUGCUAAGGUUAGGCAACUUACAUUCUUUGCAAUGAAACUACUGAAAUCGUGCAAAACAUUUAAUUUGCAAGGGUAAAUUUCGUCUUUAAUUUAUAGUUUAUAAGGAGUAAAGAUAAUACUUGUUUAGAUGAUCAAUUUAUAUUUUCAUGGUAAAAAAAGUUGCACAAUCUUAGUGACAUUGGAAUGCUUUUGGUUCCUGUUUGCAAAAUGCAAUCCACCUAUCCUGGCUCCACCCAACUAGGAGUGAAGAGACACGGAAUACCUCCUCUAAGGGGCUCAGAGGGUUCUCUUACGGAAGUUUUUGGAAGUUGACUCAAUUUUAGAUCUUAGUACACGUAAAUGGUGCGCAAGAUGUCAACGAUGAAAAUCUUAGAAUAUCAAAAAUUUGACGAACAUUUUCUCACUUCCACUAUACAUAACACGUGAGACACAUUUGGCCUCAUCCUCAGUUGUGACUGAGGAUGACGCCUAAGGUAUUGAAACGCGUAGUGAGUAAAUUUGUGUCCAAUUGUUAGUUUUUUAAAAUUUUAAUUAAUUGUAGAUACAUUUUAAGGGCUCCACAACGUGAAUUUUGUUGAUUUUAGGUGUCUUGCGGUGAGUGAUUCUAGCCCGAGUGCUUCCUUAGAACUUGAAAAAUAAAUAUAAAGAAAAAUUAGUAUUUAUGUGCGCAACCCUUAUACAGGGUUAACCCUUCUCUCUCUAGUCCAAAAAUUCAAAUUAUCUCAUGUGAGGGCCCUGGAGUGAUCACCCCGUCUCUCUCCCCUUAAAUCUGGCACUGAUCACCCCCACCGGUCUAAAUUUAUGUACUUUAAUGAAAGUGAUUGGACUGCAUUUUGCAAUUUGGAACUAUAAAUCCCGUCCCGGUUUAAAAACAACGUAUAAUGUGCCAUUAGUUUCCCUAUGCACAUACGUGUUUUUUUCAGAUGUGCCAGAAUUUAUAGCUCCAAAUUGCAAAAUGCAGUCCAAUUAUGAUCGAUCGAUGAGAUGGUGUACCAUAUUUACAGAAAAUGACACUACACUGAGAAAAAAAGUUCGGUCGUAUGAACCGAAUGUUCGGUGUUCAAUAUCGGCCGUAUUGUUUGGUUCAUGCGACCGCUCUCUCGGUUCUCGGAACCGUAUCUUCGGUUCAUGCAACCGAGCAUUUAAACCGAACAGAACUAACGAACAAGCUCGGUUGUAUGAACCGAGGAUACGGUUCCCAGAACCGAGAGAGCGGUCGCAUGAACCAAACAAUACGGCCGAUAUUGAACACCGAACAUUCGGUUCAUACGACCGAACUUUUUUUCUCAGUGUGUCAUGAUCACGAUGAGGAGUAUGUGUGCGACGUAGGCACGCACCAGCAAGUUUCCUUGUUAUUCCACGGUUCAGAAAUUUCUCAAUGAAAAUCAAAGUAAAAAUCUGGCUACCGCUCACUAGUUACUGUGAGUUCAGCUUCGAGCUUCACUAUUAUUCUCAUGAAAUUUUUCACUGCUGCAAAGUACCAAUAAAUUUCAGCACGGUGGGAUAGGACGAUGACUUUUGUGAUACUAACAUUUCAGUAUUCAGAUGGCGUAUUGAGCGCUCUCUCCUAAGGAAAUGGUUGCCCUUGAGACUUGUUAGUAGAGGUAAAAAGUUAUUUUUCUCUCAGGAAUGUAAUUCUAACAAGUUCAUACUACCUAUAUUAUUUAGUUAAAAAUUAUGACUUUAUAACUGUCAUGAAUGUGUUGUGAUAUGGUGAGUUGAUAUUUGCUUAAUCAAUAAAAACAUAUUUUGAAGAAUUUAUAGUUCAUUUUCCCUCUGUCGUCGGUAGGAGCUAAAGGAUCAUCAAUGAUCAAUAAUGCGGUGUUGCCAGAAAUGGAUCCCGUCGCAAUUUCCUCAUCAGGAAACACGGUUAUUCUGAACUGUCAAUUUCAAUUAAAGUAAUACAAUCAGACAACACUGUAAUGAUGAUCCUUGGAAAUCUUUUUGAGCCUUGGAUGAUAAUUUUAACGUGAUGAUGAUGUUUUUUUACCAAGAUAGAUUCACGUUUUUUUCGUAAUAUACGAAGCUUCUUCA
rnacentral:lncRNA from 1 species